GCACCACCACCAACUCUCGCCCGCGGCGCCGCUCCGCCACCAAUGGCCGCCGCCGACGCCCGCCCGCACCCGCAUCGCCUCCGGUCGCCCACCAGGGUCGCCGCGGACUUCGCCAUGGGCGGCGCGGCGGCGGUGGUGGCCAAGACGGGGGCGGCGCCGGUGGAGCGCGUCAAGCUGCUGCUGCAGAACCAGGCCGAGAUGCUGCGCCGGGGCGCCCUCACGCGGCCCUACCGCGGGAUCGCCGACGCCUUCGCCAGCGUCCUCCGCGAGGAGGGCGCCGCCGCGCUCUGGCGUGGGAACCAGGCGAACGUCAUCCGGUACUUCCCCACCCAGGCCUGCAACUUUGCAUUCAAAGGCUACUUCAAGAGCUUCUUCGGCUAUGACAAGGAGAAAGACAGGAAAUGGAAAUGGCUAGCUGGAAAUGUAGCAUGUGGCAGUGCUGCAGGAGCCACAACAUCAUCCCUGCUAUACCAUCUGGAUUAUGCACGGACGCGGCUAGCCACUGACGCGAUUGAAUCCCGAGCUAACAAACGUCAGUUCAGGGGGUUGCUAGAUGUCUACAAGAAGACACUUUCAACUGAUGGCAUUCGUGGAUUGUACCGAGGCUUCAGUGUGUCUAUUGUGGGUAUCACUCUAUAUCGGGGUCUUUAUUUUGGCAUCUACGACACCAUGAAACCUAUUGUACUAGUAGGGCCACUGGAGGGAAAUUUCCUGGCCAGUUUUGCCUUGGGAUGGACAAUAACUACAUUCUCCGGGGCCUGCGCCUACCCAUUUGAUACACUCCGACGAAGAAUGAUGUUAACUUCAGGGCAGCCAUUCAAAUACAGGAGUGCCUUCCAUGCCGUAAAACAGAUAGUUUCCACCGAAGGGUUCUUCACUCUAUUCAGAGGGGUCGGUGCAAAUAUCCUCUCGGGAAUGGCAGGAGCUGGAGUUCUUGCUGGGUAUGACCAGCUCCAACGGUUUGCAGGCCAGCAUGAUUACAAAAUUGAGAACAAGAUGAAAGGGGCAUUGAAAUGAUGUGCAUAUGAUGGAUCUGCAUGUGCCUGGGAAGAUCCUUGGGUUUUCAGGUUGCGCGCUGGCCAGAUGGGAUGUGUUGUGUGAGCUACAAUUACCGAGCUCACAGAGCAGAACUUGAAAUGCCUGCAAGAGUUAAUAGGAAUGAAUUGAUCAGCACAGCAACAUUUCCUGGAGGGUACAUUGUGGUAUUUUUUGAUUGAUCAGGCGUCAAGACUCUCCUCGCCCGGCCUUGUUGAUCGCUUAGAAGGCCCAACUAAUGAUGAUUUGUAGGCUUCCGCUGAGACUGGAAUAAAUCUGAGAAGUGCUCUAGCUGCUGUGACCUGAUGGUUGUCCGUACAGGCAGUGGCCAAGUGGAGCUAGCAGGAUGCCACUAUGAGGCAAAGUGGCAAACAGAAUAGACUAGGUGAGUUGCUGAACCCAAAAAACAUGGGUGGGUGGCCUGGGCUUCAAAGACCUUGAAGAUAGAUUCAACAUCAUGAUGGUAGCACCUGAAACAUGGGUGGGUUGCUUAUAGAAUCGCUGUGCUGCCCUCAAAUUCUCAUGGACAGAUACUGUUGGAAUUCUGGUGUUCAGCAAGCUGAAGCAAAGUAAGGAAUUUCAUUGCCUGAAGAAGCAUCCUGCAUGGAAUCUGGUAGAUGCAUGACCACCGACAGGGAACCGCCGUCCUCUGUCGGUGGCCACCCGUCGGAGAGGGUGGUGCUGCUGACCUGGAAACGCGAAUAUUGCUGCCAAUCCAUGUCGACGUUGCUCGAGCCAAGUUGGCACCUGAACUUGCACCCCUUCUCCGUGGUGGCGGCGGCAUCAGGAUCUACGCACAACACUGAGGCGGCGCUGCCGUAAGGUGGCGGCACCGGAGUGAACUUCACCAGGAAAAAGGGACUCCUGUCUCGCCUGUGGAGAACAUGCACUCCUGCUUUCACCUCCAGUGUGAGCUUAUCAUUGUACUCGAACUCAGUGGAUGGCCACAUAUGACCGCUGGUAAGAUGAGCCAGGAGUGCGACGGUGGAGCCGGCGAAGUUGCAGCCAGGUUCCGGACAGAAGCAUGGCGCAUGGGGGCAUGACUUGCCAUGGUCCUCCACCUCGUGAUAGUGCGUCUUCACGGUGCACCCGUACGCGGCGUUGGCGCAGGGGAUGUGGAGGGACUCCAGGAUUUUUUCAAGUGCGUAGCAUCGGUUGUACCCGCCGGGGAGGGAGCACGUGUUGCAGUUCUCCUUGUUCAUGAGUCUGCCAUGGCAGGGCGAGCAGAUCGCAUGCCCAACGACGCACUGUGUGUCAACAAGAAAACACAUCAUGAUGUAUUCUGAAGUCCUGUUUGAAAAUGAUGAGCAUGUGAAAACAACAGUGGGAAACCAUGCAAAACUUGGUUGACCAAUUUGUUCUUGGAAAUGUUGUGUGCAGGUGACAGAACUCACUACAUAAUCUUUGAACAAGGAUACAAUUCGCUCGCCACA